UCCUAGCCCCGAUGGUAGUGGAAAUCCUUUUUUGUUUUAUCCGGUUACGGUACAACAAAAAAGAUUGAAACGGACAGCGGGAAUAGCU
rnacentral:sRNA from 1 species